rnacentral:sRNA from 1 species
AAAAAAGUAAAAAAAAA